rfam:Trichobilharzia regenti genome assembly, scaffold: TRE_contig0008490
GUACUGAUGAAGAGUCCCAAACUAGGACGGGCGAAACAGCUGUCCAGUAC